GGCGUUAGUGCAAUUGGUUAGCACGCGUCCCUGCAAUGGGUAAAAUGCGAGUUCGAUUCUCGUCUAACGUCG